rnacentral:rRNA from 1 species
AUGACUUGGGGAGAGUUGUGUACAACACUGUGUGGGAAAUUCGCUCGGGAACAGUAUCAGGUUCAUCUUCGUCAGUUUCGCACUCUGAAACAGAUGACCACAGUGCAUGCAUACAUGCUGCAGUUCGAGGAACAUAUGCAUCAACUUCUAGCACACAAUCCUGCAUUUGAUCAUGUCUUCUUUACCACGCAAUUCCUUGAAGGGCUCAAGCAAGAGAUUAGAGUAGGUGUUCUGUUACAUCAACCCAAGGACUUGGACUCCGCAUUUUCCUUGGCAUCUUUGCAGGAAGAAUUGGUGGAAGCUCUCCCUCACCGUGAGGUCAGACGGCAAGAGGUACAGCAGCCACGUCCCGUCCGGCCCUUGCUGGCGCUCGGGGCCCCGCUGGUGCGACCCCCUCUUCCUGGGCCACCUGCGGCUGCAGAAGAUCGCCGCGGCAUCGACGCGGCACACGCACAGGAACACGGCGUUCAUGGAGACGACCGGGUAGCAGCACUACGAAACUACAGGCGUGCUCGCGGUUUGUGCUUCAAGUGCGGUGAGCGUUGGGGGCAAGGCCAUCAAUGUGCCCCAACAGUUCAGCUACACAUCGUCGAAGAGCUGCUUGACUUAUUGCAAGCAGACUAUCCGGAUCCUGCUGAUCCAGAAGCUGUAGAGGAGGAAGAGGUUCUCAUGUCUAUUUCCAAAGUCGCAACUAUGGGGCAGACAACACCACACACUGUCAGGCUAUUGGGCAGGAUUGCUGGCAAGGAAAUACUUAUUCUGGUUGAUUCUGGUAAUUCACACAGUUUCAUCAGCGAGGAAGUGGCGAGUCGUCUGUCUGAUAAGGUGCAACCGAUGACCCAGAUCUCUGUAAAAAUUGCCAAUGGAGGUCUACUCUCUUGUUCAGCCAUGAUACCAGCCUGUACUUGGCAGACACAAGGGUUUGAGUUCAAGACUGACAUGAGGGUUCUGCAACUGGGAUGUUACGAUAUGGUGGUCGGCAUGGAUUGGCUCCAGCAAUGUGGGCCGAUGUGGGUGGACUGGAAGCAGAAAAUCUUGCAGUUCUGGCACAACAACGAAUUGAUAGAGCUGCGGGGGGUAGUCCCUACAACAACCAAGGUAGCUCAAGUGUCAGCCGAGCAACUGAGUGCUAUGGAAGAAGGAGAGGAAAUUGCACACAUCAUCCUCCUGCGCACAGUCGAGCAAGCUACAACGGGGGACAGUCAGGAGCAGGCACCGGCUCCAAUAAUGGAGUUAAUAGAAGAGUUCUCUCAAGUAUUUGCAGAACCAACUGGAUUGCCACAACACAAGCCGUGGGAUCACGGCAUUCCCCUGAUUCCGGGAGCCAAGCCAGUGAACAUCCGAGCGUACCGCUACACUCCAGAACAGAAAACGGAGAUUGAAGCGCAAGUCCAAGAGAUGCUGAAGGCAGGACUGAUUGUGCCAAGUGUCAGCCCCUUCUCGUCGCCAGUGCUGUUAGUCAAGAAGAAAGAUCAGACUUGGAGGUUCUGCGUGGACUUUCGACACUUGAACGCAAUCACCCUCAAGCGUGCCUACCCCCUGCCCAUUAUCGAGGAGCUUCUAGAUGAACUUGCCGGCUCGGCUUGGUUCUCCAAACUGGACCUUCGAGCAGGAUACCACCAGAUCGGGUUGCUGGAGGAAGAUGAGAUGAAGACAGCAUUUACGACACACCAGGGACAUUUCCAGUUUCGGGUCUUGCCAUACGGGGUAGCAGGAGGCCCGCCGACAUUCCAGGGAGCGAUGAACAUUUUGAUGCAUCCACUCCUAAGGCACGGGGUGCUCGUAUUCAUGGAUGAUAUCCUAGUGCAUACCAAAACCAUGUCGGAACAUUUGGUAUUGCUGAGACAAGUGCUCCAGCGCCUGCAAGAGCACGACUUAAGAGUCAAGCUUUCCAAAUGCGCGUUUGCGCAACAAGAAAUCAGCUACUUAGGGCACAAGAUCAGUAAGGAUGGUGUGGCAACAUUGGAUGAGCACAUCAAGGCUGUUCAGACAUGGGAGCAACCAACCACAGUCAAGCAAUUGCGCGGGUUCUUGGGCUUAGCCGGGUACUACAGAAAAUUUGUCCGCAACUUUGGUAUUCUCGCAAGGCCUCUCAACGACCUCCUCCGGAAGAAUACCCUAUUUGUCUGGACACCUACGACUGAAGCAGCAUUUCAAGCCCUCAAACAUGCGCUGAUCGAGGCCCCCGUACUGGCUCUCCCGGAUUUCAGCAAGCAAUUCGUGAUUGAGACAGACGCCAAUGCUAAAGGAAUCGGCGCGGUGUUAAUGCAAAACUCGCACCCGGUCGCCUACCUCAGCAGGGCUCUAGCUCCCCGGAACUUGGGUUUGUCGGCGUAUGAGAAGGAGUGCCUCGCGCUACUAAUGGCAGUGGAUCACUGGCGACCGUACUUGCAACAUUCCGAGUUUCUGAUUAAGACAGAUCAGCGCAGUCUCCUGAACCUGACGGAUCAGAGAUUGAACACGCCUAUUCAGCAGCGAGCGUUCACCAAGCUUGUCGGGCUCCAAUUUCGAAUCCAGUAUAAGGCAGGCACAUCGAACAGAGCGGCUGAUGCGCUGUCUCGACGUGUGGCAGACCCACAGGCAGAACUUGCGGCCAUCUCGGUGUGCCGACCAGUGUGGCUGGACACGAUCCUUUAG